GAGGGACAGGAUGGAGGAACUGUAGGGCAUCCCACAGAUCCGGGGGUCAGGAGCGUCUGAGGCAGGGAAUGGGGCUGGGGGUACAGCCCCCCCAUCGCAGGGAAUGGGGCUGGGGGUACAGCCCCCCCAUCGCAGGGAAUGGGGCUGGGGGUACAGCCCCCCAUCGCAGGGAAUGGGGCUGGGGGUACAGCCCCCCAUCGCAGGGAAUGGGGCUGGGGGUGCAGCCCCCCCAUCGCGGGAAUGGGGCUGGGGGUGCCCGGGGAAUGGGGCUGGGGGCACAGCCGCCCCAUCGCAGGGAAUGGGGCUGGGGGUACAGGCCCCCCAUCGCAGGGAAUGGGGCUGGGGGUGCCCGGGGAAUGGGGCUGGGGGCACAGCCCCCAUCACAGGGAAUGGGGCUGGGGGUGCCUGGGGAAUGGGGCUGGGGGCACAGCUGCCCCAUCCCAGGGAAUGGGGCUGGGGGUGCCCGGGGAAUGGGGCUGGGGGUACAGCCCCCCCAUCGCAGGGAAUGGGGCUGGGGGUACAGCCCCCCCAUCGCAGGGAAUGGGGCUGGGGGCCCGGGGAAUGGGACUGGGGGUACAGCCCCCCAUCGCAGGGAAUGGGGCUGGGGGUACAGCCCCCCAUCGCAGGGAAUGGGGCUGGGGGCACAAUCCCCCAUGGCAGGGAAUGGGGCUGGGGGCACAGUCCCCAUGGCAGGGGCUGUGGGUGCCCACUGCACGCAGCACUGGCAGCAGCCCGUCCCACGGCCGGAGCGGGGACGCGCAGGGCCAGCGGGCCGGGGCCGUGCCCGGAGCACAGCAGUGCCCCCCCAGGCCCAGCCGAUGUUUCCGGAGCGGUGACAGCCCGCGCACGGCGGGGGAGGGAGACAGACCGAAAACACCCAAACCGUGAACGCGCCGAGCCGCGCAGGGGCGGCUCCGGCUGCCGGGAGCUGCCGGGGGCCGCUCAGAGCGGCGUCACGGCGGGCGGAGAACGGCCCGGUGCUGCCCGGCCCGGCACCGGCCGCGGCCCCGCGGCCCCGGGACGGCUCCGCUCCCCUGGCCCGGCUCACCCCGCACGCCCG
rnacentral:lncRNA from 1 species